GACACAAAUUUCCCUCACUCUUCUCUAAAAUUAACUCUCAUUUUUUUUUUUGCCGCCGUCUCUCUCCAAACCAUCACAAAACAAGCGUCGUCGUCUCCCUCUACCUUCCUCUUCCCCAAUUUUUCUCUCAAACCCUAUCUUCUUCCUCUUCCCCAAUUUUUCACAAUGCAUGCACUCCCCAUUCUCCACCACUGCGCGAGUCCUCGCUCCACCAAGCUCCAUACGAUAGCCAUUCGUGCACCGCAGAUGUUCCUGCAUGGCCGAUCACCGAACGUUCUCGCACCACGGACGAAAAAUGUUCCACCACAGACGUUCGUGCACGGGUGGUUUCCAAACAUCGAGGCCGCCCCAACUUCGCUCCACCACGUACGACUGAGGACUAGUACAGACCUUCUUGUUCCACCACGCACGACUGAGGAUUUGCUCACUAAGGUUCUGUCACCGUCUUGGAAUUCCAGAUAGCGAAUAACAUACUUAAUCACAUGUUGAUUUCUUGGAAUACCUUAAGGUUUUCCUUUUCUUGCUGCGAUGUUAAGAAUGGAAAUUAAAUUAGUAUUUUCUCAUUGUAGUGAAGCAGGUUUAUAGUUGAUAGUAAAUAACAUUUUAUUAAAAGUUAUACGUGGAUUUUUGUUUUCUUUCUAUUUUGGAACAAAUCUUCCAUUGAUGUGGCUCGGAUUGGAACAGUGUUUUUUUCGAUUCAUGAUUUUGUUAUAUAGUCUCAUCGUGUUCGUGAUUCGAUUCGUAUGGUUGAUUGUUUGGGUGAAUGGUUGAUUCCAAAGCCACGUUAAUAGUGAUGCAACCGGUGAUUCCAAAGCGACUUCAUUGAAGGCCAACUGGUCAAAAGAAGCAUGCAGUGAAACAAAAUUUUGUUUCUAUAAGAUGUGAGCAAAGUACCCAACAGAGUAAUCUGGAUGUUUGGCUUGGGCGGUUUGCAAUGGUGGGAUUUGCAAUUGCAAUUAGCGUUGAAAUUGCAACAUGCAAGGGACUUUUAUUUUCUACAAAAGCGUCCUUUGUACCACUUGGAGUAUUCCAUUUGAAGUGUUGAGUUUGUUUUAAAUAUGGGUCUUAAAGUGCAUCUAGAAUGUUACUUGAUUGUCGUGCAGUUGUAAAUAUCUGUAACUAUUAUUCGUUUUAAGAAAUUAUCCUUCUUAUUUCUAGAGAGAGCUACUUGGCCAAUAUCUCUCUUUAUCCAAAGAAGUUGGAGCUGCCAUUUCUUCCCUCAAAUACUCAGGUACUUUACUUAAUACUAUCCAGAUCACUGUUAGAUUUGUUCCUUUUUUCCAUUAUCUUAUCUUAGAAUUUUGUCAAGUCCUAAGAGGCAAAUUUUUGUUUUUGGAAAAUAAAAAAAAAAAAAAAAAAAAACUGCAUUUUUAGUACUUACAAUUUUUUUGAAGAAGGGCACUUGCCUUUACUUGUAAGAGGAACUAUAUGAUCUUUUCAUCAGAAACAAUUUUUUACUUUGUUCCUUCUUUUUUUAUUUUUUCUUACUACUACAUGCAAUUGGCUUCCACAUCUUUAUAGUUUUUUUCGAUUAUUAAGUAAUCAUAAAUUGAUCUUUAUUGAUUGUAGAUAUAUACACAUCAGUAUUGUUAAUGGCGUGAAAUAUUUGUUCUAUAGUUUCUCUUGGAAUAAUGUUUAAUGAGCGUGGGAUUUUAAGAUAGUGUGAUCAUCUUUAAUUUUAUAGUUUAAUCAUAUAUAGAUAUGAGUUGAUGUAAUAAAUUAGUAGAUUAUAGGUAGCUUCUAAUGUUUAUUUUUCAAUUGUUCAAUUUACUUAAUUCGACUUUUCUUUUCCUAAAAUACUAAUCUAUAUAUAUCGAUAUGCUUAUGAUGUGCUUCUAUUUGGUAUGCAGAUUAAUAUAUAUACUGUUCUAGUAAUCCAAGAAAUAGAGGUGUUAAUCUCCUCUUCAAAACUAAAAUCUAUAUGUUUAUUGGCUGUAACUUGUGAUGUGACUUUUAUGCUCUUAAUUCAUGAAUAUUAGAAAGGCUUAGAUCCAAAAGAAUAGCAGUGGCACUUGAGGUUAGCCUCAGUUGUGCUUUUCUGGUGCUCUUAGCGCUCAGAAUUCUUUGACACAGAAGAAAUCAAAGGACCAAAACCAUCUUAGACAUCAAUGGAGAGCAAGGCUAGUGUUGGCAUGUGAGAAACAUCUGGUAUUUGAUAGAAAAGGUUGAAAAGAAGUGAUCGAGUAGAUUGUUGAAGCAAGAGGCCUACACAGUGUUAGAAAAUUGAUUGAGACAAAUGGAUUGAUGAAGAUGAUAAAAAGAAGGUAAUUGUGAGUUGUUUUAACUUUUAAGAAUAUUUUCUUUUGGGAGAGUAUGUCUUCUCUUUACGUUUAGUUUUAGGAAUUAUUGUGUUUAUUUCGUAGUAAUGAGUAGUGGUUUAUUAUUUGAUGAUGAUGUUGGAUAUUGGUUCUGCCCUGAUGAAGUCUGUUGUUUAGCACUUUGUUUGUAUUGUUUUUCUUCCCUUAAUUUAGCACUUCGUCUCUUGAUGUUGGAUAAAGAUCGCUUUCUUUGUUGUUGUAAAAAGCUAAGCCAUCGGGUUGAAAGCUAAUCAAUCGUAUAGAUAGCAAGUGAUCGAGUAGAAAGCUAAGAGAUCGUUGAAGGUUGAAGAUUGUGAAGGUAUUUAGGAUUUCUUGUAUUUUGAUAUUGCUUGUAGAAUGAUUGAAGACAUAUAUGGCUGUAUUUAUUUAAGUCUUGUAUUAGGAUCUUGUUUUAUGUACUAUCGUAGAAUGUAUAUAUAAACACAAUAUUUAGAUUUCAUUUUGUGUAUACAAAUAAAGAUAAAUAUUAUAGUUUCUAUAAUAAUAUUAAUUUUAUUGAUU